rnacentral:rRNA from 1 species
GACGAACGCUGGCGGCGUGCCUAAUACAUGCCAGUUGAGCGAUGAAGAUUGGUGCUUGCACCAAUUUGAAGAGCAGCGAACGGGUGAGUAACGCGUGGGGAAUCUGCCUUUGAGCGGGGGACAACAUUUGGAAACGAAUGCUAAUACCGCAUAACAACUUUAAACAUAAGUUUUAAGUUUGAAAGAUGCAAUUGCAUCACUCAAAGAUGAUCCCGCGUUGUAUUAGCUAGUUGGUGAGGUAAAGGCUCACCAAGGCGAUGAUACAUAGCCGACCUGAGAGGGUGAUCGGCCACAUUGGGACUGAGACACAGCCCAAACUCCUACGGGAGGCAGCAGUAGGGAAUCUUCGGCAAUGGACGAAAGUCUGACCGAGCAACGCCGCGUGAGUGAAGAAGGUUUUCGGAUCGUAAAACUCUGUUGGUAGAGAAGAACGUUGGUGAGAGUGGAAAGCUCAUCAAGUGACGGUAACUACCCAGAAAGGGACGGCUAACUACGUG